UGGACGCUUUUUGGCGCGGCUGGCCAGGUCUGGGGUCUGCUGACGUGGACUGAGGGACCGCGCCGUUCCCACUAUAUAUAUGGGGAGCAUGUUAUUAUCCGUGAGUGCUCAAUCCAUUUUGAUGGUCUUCUUGCAUAGAUUAGUGGAAUGUUUCCUUUCCGGAGUGCGUAACGAGGUAGUGCGGAAACCGGCCGUCGCCUGCCGGCGAUCCGUCUUGAAACUCCAGCGAGUCCUGUAGAGAAAGGAAUGCAGAGCACUUAUUUGACAUUUCUGCCUGUUGCUUACAUUCGCCACAUUGCUCUUCUCCUACUAAAGAACUGCCGCAAAUAAAGAGGCCUCUGUAAGCAAGAUCAGAUCACUAUAUCUUCCGGUUUUCAGAUACCUGCUCAAA